UUUUAAUAAUGGUUUACAAGAAGGAAUAGAGAAGGCUGUAGGAUUGUGGAAGGGGUCGCAAAUAGCAGAGGUUUGCUGCCAUUGCGGCUUAGGGUAAGAUCGCCUCAAAUUAAGGUUUAAGCAAUCUGGCUGGCUCAAGGGCGGAUUGUUAAAUUUAAGUUUGGUGAGAUGGUUAUGGAAUUAAGUUUAAAGUGUGUUGUAAUCCUCUAAAUGCCCUCAAUAAAGCUAUGGUCUUUUCAACCAAUGUUAAAUGGUGUUGGUUCUUAUUUAUUAUAUGGUAUUUGGUGUAUCUCUAAAUAUGAUCAUCUGAAGAACAUGGGCCUGGAUUAGGAUAUUCUUUACCUGUCCUGCCUUGUUGUUUGGAAUCCUGAUUGCCAGAUGUGGAAUUUAC